rnacentral:tRNA from 1 species
GCCGCUAUGAUGGAAUGGGUAGACAUAGUGGACUUAAAAUCCACCUGAAGCGAUUCAGUACCGGUUCGAGUCCGGUUAGCGGCACCA